UAAAAGGUCUGUAUAAUUUAUUAUGGAAUUUGAGCUUUUAGCCAUUAAGUUACAACAACAAUGCAUAACGACAUUCUUACAGUUGUACAUACACAAUGGAAAAGACUUAGCCCAGUGCUUAAUCCAAACAAUGCAACCAAGUUAGUACAAGGUGACCAUAAAAGACAGUCAAUUGUGAAUAGUUGUUGACAGACUAGCAAGUUCAAAUGGUUCUCUGCAGUUACCUUUAUAGUAGAAGUAAUGGCUUCAAAGUUUUGGACUUAAGCUUCAGACUAACAAGACAAUGGAAACUCAAAUUAUUUUGCUCUUCUGAACUGAGUAGGAUAUGCUCAUUUAAAAAUGCAGUAUCAUUACUUUUCACCAUCUGAAACAUGGUAUCUUCAGGUUCAAUGGAAGUAUAGUGGACGUUUUCCAGGCAAUGCAUUCUUCACACAAACACAUGCAAUUA